rnacentral:rRNA from 1 species
AAGUCAUAUGCUUGUCUUAAAGAUUAAGCCAUGCAUGUCUAAGUAUAAAUAGUAUACAGUGAAACUGCGAAUGGCUCAUUAAAACAGUUAUAGUUUAUUUGAUAGUGCAAAUUACAUGGAUAACCGUGGUAAUUCUAGAGCUAAUACAUGCGCAAAUACCGGACGCAAGAAUGGUAGCAUUUAUUAGAUUUAACCAUCAUAUGGUGAAUCAUAGUAACUUAGCUGACCGCGUGUAUACGUGGUAAAUCAUUCAAGUUUCUGCCCUAUCAGCUUUCGAUGGUAGUGUAUUGGACUACCAUGGCAGUCACGGGUAACGGAGAAUUAGGGUUCGAUUCCGGAGAGGGAGCCUGAGAAACGGCUACCACAUCUAAGGAAGGCAGCAGGCGCGUAAAUUACCCAAUCCCGAUUCGGGGAGGUAGUGACAAGAAAUAGCAACUCGUGCGGGUUUCCGUUACGGGAUUGCAAUGAGAUAAGUCCAAAUCCGUAAACGAUUAACAAUUGGAGGGCAAGUCUGGUGCCAGCAGCCGCGGUAAUUCCAGCUCCAAUAGCGUAUACUUAAGUUGUUGCAGUUAAAAAGCUCGUAGUUGAAAUUCGAGUCAGUUACUAGUUGGCUUUUCGUCAGUUAGUUAAUUGAUUCUCCGUCUACAAUCCCUUUUGCGCUUUAGGGUUGCAGCUGGGCGAGUAGACAAUUUACCUUGAAAAAAUUAGAGUGUUCCAGGCAGGUCUUCGCCGGAAUACAUUAGCAUGGAAUAAUGGAAUAGGACUUGGGUCUUUUGUUGGUUUUAGGACUUGAGUAAUGAUUAAUAGGGACAGAUGGGGGCAUUAGUAUUUAAUUGUCAGAGGUGAAAUUCUUGGAUUUAUUAAAGACUAACUUAUGCGAAAGCAUUUGCCAAGGAUGUUUUCAUUAAUCAAGAACGAAAGUUAGGGGAUCAAAGACGAUCAGAUACCGUCGUAGUCUUAACUAUAAACUAUACCGACUCGAGAUCGGAAGGGUAAUAUAUUAGUCCCUUUCGGCAUCGUAAGAGAAAUCAAAGUCUUUGGGUUCUGGGGGGAGUAUGGUCGCAAGGCUGAAACUUAAAGGAAUUGACGGAAGGGCACCACCAGGAGUGGAGCCUGCGGCUUAAUUUGACUCAACACGGGGAAACUUACCAGGUCAAAACAUGGAUGGGAUUGACAGAUUGAAAGCUCUUUCUUGAUUCUAUGGGUGGUGGUGCAUGGCCGUUCUUAGUUGGUGGAGUGAUUUGUCUGGUUAAUUCCGAUAACGAACGAGACCUUAACCUGCUAACUAGUUUGCUUCUGAAUAAGAGGUAUAACUUCUUAGAGGGACUAUGUAUGUAAGUGCAUGGAAGUUUAAGGCAAUAACAGGUCUGUGAUGCCCCUAGACGUCCUGGGCCGCACGCGCGCUACACUGACACGUUCAGCGAGCUUAUUUACCUGUCCCGAAAGGGCACGGGAAAUCUUGUUAGGACGUGUCGUGCUGGGGAUAGAUCUUUGCAAUUAUAGAUCUUGAACGAGGAAUUCCUUGUAAGCACAGGUCAUCAGCCUGUGCUGAAUACGUCCCUGCCCUUUGUACACACCGCCCGUCGCUCCUACCGAUUUCGAGUGAUGUGGUGAACUAUCUGGACUGCGGAUGGGCUCGAACCAUUUGCGGGAAGUUUCGUAAACCUUAUCACUUAGAGGAAGGAGAAGUCGUAACAAGGUUUCCGUAGGUGAACCUGCGGAAGGAUCAUUUACACAUUCGAUCAUAACCUUAGAUUAGUGUUUGAUGUGCUUCUGUUCUAACAUUAGUUAGUCAGAAGUUCAAUAAACCUAUUCUCUAAUUUUUAUUUAACAUGUUUCAUUAUACCAGAAAAUUUUCAACGAUGGAUAUCUGGGUUCCCAUAACGAUGAAGAACGCAGCGAAAUGCGAUACGCAAUGCGAAUAGCAGAUCUGCGAGACAUUAGAUUUUCGAACGCACUUGGCGCUAGUUUACUAGCAUGUUUGUUUCAGUGUGUUUGGAGAGCAUCUUAUCAUCAAAAAGAAUGUGAUUGAGGCUUCGGCUUCUCUCAUUAAAUAAGAGAGUGUAUGAGUCUCAUACACAAAAAUGAAGUAGUCACAUCAUUGUGAUCUCAUUUUUGUCGAUUCUCUAAACAAGCGCUCUAUUAUUUCUCCUUUUUUGACACCUGAAAUCAAGCAAGAUCACCCGCUGAACUUAAGCAUAUCAGUAAGCGGAGGAAAAGAAACUAACAAGGAUUGCCUUAGUAGUGGCGAAUGAACCGGCAAUAGCUCAAAGUGUAAAUCUGAGGCAUCAAGUCUUAGAAUUGUAAUCUAUAGGCCUUUUAGGGAAGCCAUGGUCUUAGCAUAAGUUCCCUGAAAAGGGAUGCCAAAGAGGGUAAAAGCCCCGUAUUUGGUUAGGACUGGGUGUACCGAAGGGUUCCAAGAGUCGGGUUGUUUGGGAUUGCAGCCUAAAAUGGGAGAUAAACUUCUUCUAAAGCUAAAUAUUUAUGGGAAACCGAUAGCAAACAAGUACUACGAAGGAAAGAUGAAAAGAACUUUGAAAAGAGGGUUAAAAGACUUGAAAUCGUUGAGGAGAAAAGCGGUAGAAGAGAAAUGAUUUCAUUUAGAAGUAUGUAGUUUUGUAGGUGUCUUCUGUGGUGAUGGUACUUCAUAGGGCCUAGCUAUAGACCGGCGUCGCAUUGCUGCUUUUUCUGGGUGAAGUGCAAAAUGAGGUCUCGCUUGCGGAAACGUCUCUAGGGAAGACUCUGGCCUUGAUGCUGGAAGCCCUGGUCUCCAACGUAAGCCUGGCCUGAGGGCUGCAUC